rnacentral:rRNA from 1 species
GAACCACCCGAUCCCAUCCCGAACUCGGAAGUGAAACGCAGCUGCGCCGAUGGUAGUGUGGCUCAAGCCAUGCGAGAGUAGGUCAUCGCCAGGG